rnacentral:sRNA from 1 species
AUGGACCACGCGGACACUCCGGUGCUGAGCACGCCGUCCGCCCCCACCUGACGACCGCUCGCUACAUGUCGUCAGCC